AAGAAAGUGGCAGAGAGGCAAUGCGUCUGACUUGAAAUCAGGGUACGGGGGUUCAAUUCCUCCCUUUCUCG
rnacentral:tRNA from 1 species